rnacentral:rRNA from 1 species
GACGAACGCUGGCGGCGUGCCUAAUACAUGCAAGUAGAACGCUGAAGAGAGGAGCUUGCUCUUCUUGGAUGAGUUGCGAACGGGUGAGUAACGCGUAGGUAACCUGCCUGGUAGCGGGGGAUAACUAUUGGAAACGAUAGCUGAUACCGCAUAAAAUUGAUUAUUGCAUGAUAAUUAAUUGAAAGAUGCAACUGCAUCACUACCAGAUGGACCUGCGUCGUAUUAGCUAGUUGGUGAGGUAACGGCUCACCAAGGCGACGAUACAUAGCCGACCUGAGAGGGUGAGAGGCCACACUGGGACUGAGACACGGCCCAGACUCCUACGGGAGGCAGCAGUAGGGAAGCUUAGGAAAUGGGGGGAACCCUGACCGAGCAACGCCGCGUGAGUGAAGAAGGGUUUCGGAUCGUAAAGCUCUGUUGUAAGAGAAGAACGGGUGUGAGAGUGGAAAGUUCACACUGUGACGGUAUCUUAACAGAAAGGGACGGCUAACUACGUG